AGUGAACGCUGGCGGCAGGCCUAAUACAUGCAAGUCGAACGGCAGCACAUUGGAGCUUGCUCCAUGGGUGGCGAGUGGCGGACGGGUGAGGAAUACAUGGGAAUCUGCCCAGUCGUGGGGGAUAACGUAGGGAAACUUACGCUAAUACCGCAUGCGCCCUUCGGGGGAAAGCCGGGGACCUUCGGGCCUGGCGCGAUUGGAUGAGCCCAUGUUCGAUUAGCUAGUUGGCGGGGUAAAGGCCCACCAAGGCGACGAUCGAUAGCUGGUCUGAGAGGAUGAUCAGCCACACUGGGACUGAGACACGGCCAAGACUCCUACGGGAGGCAGCAGUAGGGAAUAUUGGACAAUGGGCGCAAGCCUGAUCCAGCCAUGCCGCGUGAGUGAAGAAGGCCCUCGGGUUGUAAAGCUCUUUUGUCCGGGAAGAAAAGCAUCGGGCUAAUACCUCGGUGUUCUGACGGUACCGGAAGAAUAAGCACCGGCUAACUUCGUG
rnacentral:rRNA from 1 species